rnacentral:rRNA from 1 species
AAAUUGAAGAGUUUGAUCAUGGCUCAGAUUGAACGCUGGCGGCAGGCCUAACACAUGCAAGUCGAACGGUAACAGGAAGAAGCUUGCUUCUUUGCUGGCGAGUGGCGGACGGGUGAGUAAUGUCUGGGAAACUGCCUGAUGGAGGGGGAUAACUACUGGAAACGGUAGCUAAUACCGCAUAACGUCGCAAGACCAAAGAGGGGGACCUUCGGGCCUCUUGCCAUCGGAUGUGCCCAGAUGGGAUUAGCUUGUUGGUGGGGUAACGGCUCACCAAGGCGACGAUCCCUAGCUGGUCUGAGAGGAUGACCAGCCACACUGGAACUGAGACACGGUCCAGACUCCUACGGGAGGCAGCAGUGGGGAAUAUUGCACAAUGGGCGCAAGCCUGAUGCAGCCAUGCCGCGUGUAUGAAGAAGGCCUUCGGGUUGUAAAGUACUUUCAGCGGGGAGGAAGGGAGUAAAGUUAAUACCUUU